GUUGACCUCGGAUCGGGUAGGAAUACC
rnacentral:rRNA from 1 species